GAAUUCAGGCAGUGUUUAGAGAGUGAGAGUUUGAUUAGGGGGGGGACACUGGGAGGGGGUAAUUACCCUAAACCUGAGCUACCCCGCUUGCGCGUCUGGCCGCGAAGGCAUCUUCAAGAAUCCGGAUAAUUUAAUGCGGUUUUGCUGUGGGACGCACCUCUGGCGGGCAGGGAAAGCAGCGGGGCUUGGCUUGGCUUUUUGGGGGGGAAGAGAAAAAGGAGGAGAGGGACGAGGAGAGCUGAUGUGAGAAGUUGUGGGGUGCACGGAGCAGGGCUGAGAGCUCCGAGGCGGCCGCACGAAGUUUGCUGGGUGCCGGUGGGUGAGGAAGGGUUCCUCCUCCCCUCCGCCCGGGCUCCUCCGCAAACUGGCAACCUGGAAUCGUGUUUUAUGGCCACUCGCUAGCGUUUUGUUUGCUUUCCGGACUGGCUCUGUGUGGGAUAUCAGCGAGUUAUGCCCUAACUGUGAGCUUAGAGUAGCGUGCUGGCCGCGGUGGGUUCUUGAUUUAUAUCGGGUUGGAGCAGAGAGGAGGGCAAAGUUUUGCUCGCCGACCGCUGAGGAAUGAAUUACAAGUCUGAGAGGACGGUAUCCCGCAGGACCCGGAGGGGUCUGGCAUUCACCAUGGACUUGCAGCUUGCGCUCCUGUUUGCGGGGAUAAUUGCGUUUUCGGACUCGGCCAGAGGUAAGGGAACCGUGGGGACCCCCGUCGGUGUCGCUGCCACCGGGGCUCGUCCUCUGCCCACGUGCAGGUCUCCAUACCUGCGGGGUUCGGGGCUGUGGAUGGAGCACGGGGUUUGUAGGAGGUCUCGCAAGCACAGGUGGACUCGCAGGGGCUUUUCUCGUGCGCCUAUAAGAAGUACAUGGACGAUUUUAAAGAAAAGCAACCGCAUUCCUCCGUGGAUCAGAAAUACCUCUCACCUCCUGUAAUCCCGCCAGCCUCUGCCCUGUAUAUUCCCACUAGCAAACUAAACAAACACGUCCAUUAACCUCCUCGGUGACAGACAAAUGACAGUUCCCAACAGCGAGAGCAUAUUUUAACGCUGGGGCUCCAGCAGUCGAUCAGGUUUCAAUAAACAGGUUACCCCACCAGCGGCA
rnacentral:lncRNA from 1 species